GAAUUUUGCGCAAUGGGCGAAAGCCUGACGCAGCAACGCCGCGUGAGGGAUGAAGGCCUUCGGGUCGUAAACCUCUUUUCUCAGGGACGAUGAUGACGGUACCUGAGGAAUAAGCCACGGCUAACUACGUGCCAGCAGCCGCGGUAAUACGUAGGUGGCGAGCGUUGUCCGGAUUUACUGGGCGUAAAGAGCGCGCAGGCGGUCGUUCGAGUCGCGUGCGAAAGCCCCCGGCUCAACUGGGGAGGGUCACGCGAUACUGAUCGACUCGAAGGCGGGAGAGGGAAGCGGAAUUCCCGGUGUAGUGGUGAAAUGCGUAGAUAUCGGGAGGAACACCAGUGGCGAAGGCGGCUUCCUGGCCCGUUCUUGACGCUGAGGCGCGAAAGCUAGGGGAGCAAACGGG
rnacentral:rRNA from 1 species